rnacentral:lncRNA from 1 species
GAGGAAGAUUAAAGGAGGAGAGUCAACUGAUGCUCCAGGCUCUUCAUUUCUGGGACAGCAAAGUCUGGCCUGGGAUGUGGCCGGGAGACCUGAUUGCAAUGCUGGAGAAGGGGCAGCACGGUGAGCAGGGGAGAAAUAGCGUAUCUGAGCUCCCGUUUCUUUUCUCUUUCCAUGUCUUCCUGUCAUGCUGUCACUAGGGUUGUCACACCUAUUGUGUCUUGGAGAGAAAGAAAUAUAAUAGAAGCUGGAGAUGUUUAGGCAUCCUCACAGGCCAAAGGAGAAUCUGUGGAAAGAAUGGGUUUGAAUGUGGUGAAAAGCAUCAGGGACUAUUUCAGUGAGGAAAGGGGACUGAUGUGACUGGAUGGGUGGUUUCCCCCAUUUCUCUAAUCAUCUGUUGCAGCUUGGAGGAUGGUAAUGUUUGGAAAUGAGAAUCCAAUCCCACUUGCCAAGAAACAGCUUUUGUAGAUCUUUGGUUUUUGUCUUUGUCUUUUGUGGUGCCCUCAUGCAUGCUAGAUGAAUGCUCUGCCAUUGAGCUACAUCCCUAACCCUUUUUAUUUCUAUUUUGAGAAAGUGUCUCUAUAAAUAACUGGGGCUGACCUUAAACUUGCUAUCCUCCUGCCUCAGCCUCCUAAGUAGCUGGGAUUACACGCAUGUGCCACUGCACUUGACUUUGGAGAUGUUUAAUGUUUCAUAAAUAUUACUUUAUAUAGAGUGUCCCCAAAAUAGACAUUUUAAAAUUAAUCUGAAGUACAGUAAUAAGGAUUAUACAAUAGGGUCUGUGAAGAAAGGUUAAAGCAAUUAUAGCUAGAAAAAAUCUGAUGGCUUUGGAGUUCUGUUUUAUAAGCAGGGAAACAUCUUACUAAAAAGGUACAUCUGAUGGUAUUGUUUUACCCCAGGAAAAAAGAAAGGCGAUCCACAUACCCCUGGAAUCAGGAAUAUAGUUACUGAUAUAAAUGACUGGAUAACAUGUUCCUUAGACAAUUGGAGGGUACCAGGAGAUUCCCCUUAGUUCUAAAUAUAUUUGACUGAAAGCUUAAUAUUAAUCAUUCAUUUUGACUGAAGUCUAAGAAAGGAGGAACAGAGGGUAUAAUGAGGAGGCAUAAGAACUUAACUCUCUUCUUUAUAUUUCUGUCUAGAGGUGUGUAUUAGCAUAAAAUAUGAUUAUUGGCAUAGAAUAUCAUCUUUAAAGAAAAAAGACAGGACUUAGUUUUGAAUGUGAGUUAAUAUAGGGCUGGGACUGAUACAGGUGAGUUGAUAUAGAGUUGGGAAUGGUUGACAUCAAAAGCUGAUUUUUUACAUCAAAAGCUUUGGAUGACAUCAAAGCUGAUUUUUAUCCUAACUAUUAAACAUGGGUCAUUCCGAAUUACAAAUGGCUAAGAGACCUGGGUACAAAAAGUAUAGACUCUAUAGUUUUGUUUAAAUAUUAUUUAUUAAUUUAAAUACUAUUUAUUAACAUUAAUGAAAACUAAAAGCACAUUCCUUCAAGUUCAAGUCAUUUAAAUUGUAUUCACUGGUCCAAAUAAAAAAGGAAAAAAAAAGUCCUAGGUUCCAUUUCAAAUAUGAAGCAAAUUCCUCUUUGGCUUUAGAAAAAUCCUUCAUUAAUGAAGUCAUUUCAUAUUGGGGAGAAUGUGAUAAAAUAAAUUUUAAUAUUUCUCCUUAUUUGGUUACCUUGCUCAAGAUCAGGCAUUAGAAAAAGUGCACUGAAAUUAAACAAUAAGUAUUCAUAUUAAAUGGAUUGCAUUUGAAACUUCAUAUGCUGAUAACAUUUUUUUUUUCUGUACUUUCAGGUGGCCCAUUCUGAGUGUGGACUGCCAAACAAAGUUGUGUAUCUGUCCCUCAACAGUAAUCUUACCUGCUUUGUAUUCUACUGUUAUCAUUCACAUCUUCAGAUAUUCCAAUUUUUCCUCAUUUUUAUUCUAAAGCCAUUGGACUACAGGGUUUCCAACUUUGGUGCUUUCUGUUCCAGUUAAAAUUAAUGUUCAAGAACUACCAAAUUUUCACAAGAGAUUCUUUAUUAUUUAUUCACAUGGGUUGAGUACCAUUUUUUAGAGGUCCAUGUAGCCUGAAAGAUAAGUGAGUGGGAUGUUUUUAUCUAAUCAUGCUUUUUUAUGCUCUUCUAUUAAAGUAAAGAGAACAUUCCUUUAUAAUAUUAUUAUGAUUAUUAUGAUUAUUAUCAAGAGAUGUGUACCCAUUAUGCCGCUAAUAACAAUCUAUUAUCAGUACUAAAAUAACAUAUUGCCAUAUUUCAAAUUAAUACUUUAAAUAGAUAUAAGUGAAUAUUCCAUACUAAACUGAGAUUAAUCUGUAGGGCACACUGGCACACACCUAUAAUCCCAGGUAUUCAAGAGGCUGAGGCAGGAGAAUCAUAAGUUCAAGGCCGGCCUAGACAACUUAGCAAGAUCCUGUCUCAGUAAUAAUAAUAUUAAUAAUAAAGAGGAUUAGGAAUGUGGUUCAGUGGUAGAGCACCCCUGGGUUCAAUCCCCAGUACUGUAAAAAAUAAAUAAAUAAAAAUAGGUUAAUUCAUGCUGAUUAGCAAAAUUAUUUUGGGUACAACUUAAGAAUUCUGCUCCUUCUUUAGUUUCCAGGAAAAUCCAAGCCUAUCUCACUUACAUCCCACUUGAGAGCUUAUCUAAUUGGAAAAUAUUUCCCCUCUUGGUAAAGUUGUAUCCAUUAUGAGGCCAGCAUUUUUUUGCAUGUAGAAAAAACAAACAAACAAAAAAACCCCAAACCACUUCUUUCUUAAUAUACAAUCUCUUUCCAAAGUCCGUAUUUUUUCCAAUGUUUUAUUCUAGAAGGAAGAACUCCAGAUAAAUACAUUGGACCAAAACAAAUUAUGGAAAAGACUAUCCAUAAUUGGACUCCAUCUGUCCAAAGGGGGUAAAGCCUUCCAAAGGCAGAAAAAAAGAUUUGAGUAACUAAGUGAGUCCUACUUCUGACCUGUAAAGUUGGUUCUGUUGUCUAAGGAGGCAUAUAAUCUUUGGUUAAACUUAAAAUAUCUGUCUAGUUUCUUAACAAUUAAAUUAAUUUAGUGUAGAAAAUCCCUUCCAAAAGCCUACUAGGGCAUCAGUUAUGCUCAUCAGUAACCUACACUCAGAGGCUAUAUCUACGUGAUCAGGAACAAUGGAAGGAGAAUACAAAGUUUGCUUCCAGAUAACUAAAAUAUACUCUUACUUCACCCCUGCUGGUUUUCAUCAUCAAAUGUGCCAUAUUAAAUUUUUUAUUAUGGUAUAAAGUUUACCAUUGUAACCCUUUUAAGUGUGUAUUUUAAUACUAUUGGGUCCAUUCACGUUGUUGUGCAACCAUCUCUACUAUCCACUUUUUUUUUUUUAUCAUUCCAAGCUAAAUUCUCUAUUCCUUGAACAAAGUAACUUCCUGUUCCCUCUAUCUUUCUUCAGUCCCUAGUAACCACUGCUUUAUUUUCUGUCUUUAUGUAUUUUACUCUUUUAGGUUCCUCAUACAAAUGGAUGGUACAAUAUUUGUCCUUUGUGUCUAACUUGUUUUACUUACCACAUGGCUUUAAGGUUCAUCCAUGUUGUGCUGUGUCAGCGUUUUAUUCUCUUGGGAGGAUAAUUGUCCAUUGGAUGUAUGUACCACAUCUUUGUUUAGUCAUUCAUCCACUUAUGGACAUUUGUGUUGUUUUUACCUUUUGACUAUUAUCAACAUUGAGUCUGUGAAUAUUGGUGUACAAAUAUUUGAGUCCAUUUCCAGUUAUUUUGUAUAUACCCAGAACUUGAAUUCCUGAAUCAUAGUAAUUCUACAUUUAAUUUUUUUUUUCAGAACCAUCAUACUGUUUUCCAAAGCAGCUACACCAGGCAAGGCUCCCACCUAUGAGGCACCAGCAUUCCCACUUCUCCACAACCAUGCCAACUCUCCUUCCUUCCGUCCUUCCUUCCUUCCUUCCAUCCUUCCUUUCUUUUCUUAAUAAUAGCCAUCCUUUGAGUGCAAAAUGGCAUCCCAGUGCAUUUCACUUAGGUUUAUUGAUGUUGAGCAUCUUUUCAUGGCUUGUUGGCCAUGUGUGAUUCUUCUCUGGAGAAAUGUCUAUUCAAGUCCUGUGCUCAUUUUGGGGUUGUGUUGUUUGCUUGUUUGGGAGUGCUAUAAUUUUUUUUUCAUGUUCAAUUCAAUUUUUCAUGGUCAAUUUUCAGAAGAGAUCACUUGGUUCGUUACAUAUUAUAAGGCACAUUUUCUAAGGCCAACUCCUGAGAAAAGCUGAAUGAACCAAGUCUAACUCUUUUAGUCAGAAAAUAAGCCAUUUAUCUAGUUUCAAAAACAUUAAAUAUCAUGUAUGUUUUAUUUUGUGGAAUCAUCAUUAGUAAUUGUUUUCAUAGUACCUUAUAUUUUAGCAUUGAAAGGCCAUGAUAACAUUCUCUAAACUCUGUGAAAUAAUGAAUCUUGAUACCAAGAAAGAUCUUGUGGAAGAGAUGAACAUAUGACUUGAAAAUAGAAGUAGUUUAUCUGUUUUGGCUUUUUGAAAAAACAAAAAGGAUGCUGAGUCUGGGGCUGGGGUUCAGUGGCAGAGCCCUUGCCUAGCAUGUGUGAGGCGCUGGGUUCGAUCCUCAGGACUGCAUACAAAAAUUAAUAAAAUAAAGGCAUGCUGUUCAUCUACAACUUCAAAAAAAAAAGGACUCUGUAACUAUUUUUCAAGAUCAACAUCACCUUCUUUUCUUUACUCCCUUCAAAAGAGCAAGGAAAUUCAUAAUUCACGUUUCUCUGGUAGAGCAACAUAAUGAAAACCAUGCUUCAAAAAAUCAAGCAAAGCUGAGAAGGAUAGUUUGGUAAUCAUCACUAUUAACAGCAUCAUCAUUAUUAAAAAGGAAACAUUAUGUCCACGUCUUUAUGGAGUGAUGUAAAUUUAUGCUACAAAAAGUUUAUGGAUAAACUUCUAUAGUAUGAAAAAAAUGCAAAGACCAUGAAAUAAAAUGACCACAUAGUAUGAAUAUGUGUAUUCAAACUAUUAUGCUGUGUAUUUUGUAACAACAUUCAACUAGUGAAUAGUGGAUAGAAUUAUGAAUAAAUAAUAAUAAACAUUAUAUUAUG